rnacentral:rRNA from 1 species
ACUAGCUUAUAAGGGCAAACGCAGGGAACUGAAACAUCUAAGUACCUGCAGGAAAAGAAAUCAAUUGAGAUUCUGCAAGUAGCGGCGAGCGAACGCAGAAUAGCCCAAACCAAUCCUGGUGACAGGGUUGGGGUCGUAGGACCCACAUAAGGGAAAGCACGUUUAGGAGAACAAGCUGGGAAGCUUGGCCAUAGAGGGUGAAGGCCCCGUAUCUGAAAAGUGUGUAAUUCUGGUGGGUAUCCUGAGUAGGACGGGACACGUGGAAUCUUGUCCGAAUCUGGGAAGACCACUUUCCAAGGCUAAAUACUCCUUACUGACCGAUAGUGUACUAGUACCGUGAGGGAAAGAUGAAAAGAACCCCGAUGAGGGGAGUGAAAUAGAUUCUUGAAACCGUAUACCUACAAACAGUGAGAGGGUUAUUGUAAAACCUGAUCACGUACCUUUUGCAUUAUGAUCCAGCGAGUUACGAUAGCUAGCAAGGUUAAGCCGUUAGGUGUAGCCGUAGGGAAACCGAGUCUUAACUGGGCGUUUAGUUUGUUGUCGUAGACCCGAAACGGAAUGAGCUAUCCAUGAGCAGGUUGAAGCGGGGGUAACACCUCGUGGAGGACCGAACCCAUAUAGGUUGAAAACUGUUGGGAUGACUUGUGGAUAGGGGUGAAAGGCCAAUCAAAUUCCGUGAUAGCUGGUUCUCUCCGAAAUGCAUUGAGGUGCAGCGUUUAGAUUAACUGCCGGGGGUAUAGCACUGAAUUGGCUAGGGGGCCUACCAGCUUACCAAACCAUAUCAAACUCA